UACGGAGGGUGCAAGCGUUAUCCGGAUUCACUGGGUUUAAAGGGUGCGUAGGCGGGUAAGUAAGUCCGUUGUGAAAUCUCUGAGCUUAACUCAGAAACUGCCGUGGAUACUAUUUGCCUUGAAUAUUGUGGAGGUGAGCGGAAUAUGUCAUGUAGCGGUGAAAUGCUUAGAUAUGACAUAGAACACCAAUUGCGAAGGCAGCUCACUACACAAUCAUUGACGCUGAGGCACGAAAGCGUGGGGAUCAAACAGG
rnacentral:rRNA from 1 species